GCCAAGCCACCAAGUACUCAGCUUCUCCCUAUGGCCCUGCUACUCCUAAGGCAGCAGUUUGGCUCCACAACACCCAUGUCUAGCCAGUAGGGGGAGUAAGAGGGCAGAGACUCUGGCAAGCUAAGAGAGAUGAAGUCAGCCUUGCAGUCUAGUUUAUUGUGCGUGAAGGAUUGUGAGAGUCAUUGGAAACCUUCCAGGAGAAAAGUGGAUGAGGAGCAACAGGCGCAGUCUGCAAUGGAGGCUCUAGGACCGCGCAGACGACGGCUGGGUGGCGGCAGGGUCUAACCCGGAGAAGCUGCCUGAGUCACCGGCCCCGCCCUCCUGAACCGGACACAGCGGGGGCCCGGCAGCAGGCGAGCAAGACCGCGGACCGCCGGAUCCGUAAGUGAGACGGGACACUCCAGUCCAGCACCCCUGCACCCUGUAGAUCCGGAAUCCGUAGUCCUCAGAUCUGGCGAGACCCUAAAGUCGUGGCCCUUGGGGGUCCUAGGACCGGUGUUCUCAGAUUCGAACCAUCGGGCCUGUCAGCCCCUCCAGAACACUCCUUACCAUCCCGGAUCUGACGACCAAAAAAUAUAAGCCCAAAGAUCAGAGAGAUACCCGGAAAUUAUUUUGGGCGUCUAGAACCACAAUCCGAGAUCGUGGUUCCCAUUUGCGGUGGGAAGAACUCCGUUAUCCAGGAUCCUCCGGGCGCACAGCCAUAAUUUUUGGCCGGAGCCCACAGAUCCCGUAGUGACAGUGUAGUCCCUCUGUCGAGAGUACCUGAAUGUCUUAAUCCACAUUAGGAACUUCCUGGUCAGCCCUGGGUCAUCCCUACCCUGAGCUUAAUUUUGGAAGGCCUGGAUCUGAGACACGUCCGGUUUUACACACCUUAGGGUUUCUACACGAGAAUCCCCUGUUUUCCCGCUGCCUCAAGACAGGGUAAAGCAGGCAGGCGCUGUAGCCAAGGCUGGCCUUGAACUGGUCCUCCAGCCUCAGCCUCCCAAUUUCUGGGAUUACAGUAGAGCGCUACUACGCACGCCCAGCUGUACCCCUGUCCUCAUGCCUAUAUAUGCAGUCAAGCCUGGGCCAGGGUACUUUCUAGACCCUAGGAGGUUUCACAUCUCCUAUCACCUGUCCAGACCCCUAGCUUGAGGCUCUGUCCCCAUCUCGAGGCCUCAGUGUCGUCCCCAAUCUAGUUGCCGGAAAUGCUUGCCUUUUUUUUUUUUUUUUUUUGCGGGAAGGGCUGGGCUCCUGGCAAGGCCACUACCCGACCCACCCCUUUUACUUUACAGGACUCAGCUGC
rnacentral:lncRNA from 1 species